rnacentral:lncRNA from 1 species
CCGCCCUCCCUCUCUCCCUCUCUCCCGCGCGCCUCCGCCCUCCCUUGCCAGGAAACGCCGGCUCCUGUUCGGUUUCUCGCGUUGCCCCUUCUUCCUCUCUACUCCCCUCAGGCUUGAGUCCUUUCUGCUCUCUCAGCACUCGCCUCGCGCUCCCCCACCGCGCCCUCCGCCGCCUCUUUUCUGCCCCCGCCCGUGCUCUGUUGCCGCCGCCCCUUCGCAGCGUCCCGCGGCUGCUACUCACAAUCGCGCCCCCACUCAACCCCACCCAAAUGGCCAGGUCCGCGCUCCAGUCGCCGGGCAGUGCCUACCUAAGGACCAGCCUCCAGCCCCUCCCGCUUCUUCUGCCGGGUCUCUGUCUCACCGGAAAAAGAAACUCCCAAAUAAAGUUGCGGCCCAAGCCAGCGUUGGGUAGGCAUUGCUGCAAAGUGCUCCAGCGAGUGUGGAAGCCUCUCUCCAAGGAAGAAAACCUCCAGCCCCGCAGUUAUCAGGAGCCAUCUAAACAAUUAGAAAGUUGGCAAUAAACCCAAGGGGUGGAGGCAAAUGACCCAAAAUUUGAAACCUGCUUCCUACGACCUCAACAUACCUAUGCCCAAGCCGCUAUUCACACUUGUGCAUCUACACACCUACAGACCUACCUAGCAAAAAGAAAAUAAACAUUUUAUUUUUUAAGCAGCAAGAUGGAAAAUGGAUCAACUCUGUGACUUCAGGAGGCGCUCCUUUCUUCUCGCCAAGCCUCUUUGUUUGACAAUAGCUUCUGUCCAGUCCUCUGGCAGAUGCAGACAGAUGUGAGCAGCCCCCCUCACUAUCCCCCACCCCUGGGUGAGGAGGAGUAGCUGGAGAUUCCCCUCAGGCUUCUGGGCAAAGGGUCCCCGCAGUAGGCGUCCCCCACCCGAAAAUCAGCCCGCCCCUGAAGCAAUCCCAAGGGGAGAAAUCUCUGUCUCCUCCUUGUAUCUGGGUCCUAAUUUACUAUUAAAAUUUUA